rnacentral:lncRNA from 1 species
UUUUGAUUACACACAAGGUCCGUGGCGGUGGGUGGCUAGUAGAUGAAUAUAAGAGUAUACGACAACUAAGUCUCACCUAAUAAACUUCUAGAAGUAAUUAUGUAAAGGAUAAUUUCAUAGAAACGUCCAUCAAUAUAAUUAAACCUGAAUCUUGUAUUUAUUUCUCAGAAACAUAAGGGAUUCAUUUAUUUAUUUUGCCUGUUUAUAGCAUAAACAUAUGACAUUUUAUUUAAGAUUUAUCUCAUAUCCAAUUACUUUCCAGUACAAAUUAGGCUUCCAUUAGAUCUGUAAAGUUUGCAACCCUUCUUUACUUUGCAACAGUUUGUGCAGCCUGGAUGAAGCUUCUUAGGGCCAGAUUUUGGGCAAGUCAUGUAGCCAACUUUGAGGCAAACUUGUGGGCAAAUUUUCCUUUGGGCUUCUGCAUAUUGCACAUUGCUUCCCAAGAAAAACAAUCCUGUCAUAGAAUGAAAAACAUAAUAUAGAAAUCAAACCUAUUGUUCAUCUCGGUCUUCUUUAGUAUUGCGUAUAAAGCAUGAUCAAAGAAAA